rnacentral:rRNA from 1 species
UACGUAGGGUGCGAGCGUUGUCCGGAAUUACUGGGCGUAAAGAGCUCGUAGGUGGUUUGUCGCGUUGUUCGUGAAAACUCACAGCUCAACUGUGGGCGUGCGGGCGAUACGGGCAGACUGGAGUACUGCAGGGGAGACUGGAAUUCCUGGUGUAGCGGUGGAAUGCGCAGAUAUCAGGAGGAACACCGGUGGCGAAGGCGGGUCUCUGGGCAGUAACUGACGCUGAGGAGCGAAAGCGUGGGAGCGAACAGG